GGGCUCGUAGCUCAAUUGGUAGAGCAGCGGACUCAUAAUCCGUACUGUCCAGGUUCGAGCCCUGGCGAGCCCA
rnacentral:tRNA from 1 species